CCAAUAAUCGAAAAGUGUAAUUCCCUUAUGGCAGAAGACAGAAGGUUCUAAAAAAGACUGAUUCUUUGUUGUGUUUGAUUACUUAAAAAAGUUGUGUAUGACUAAAGCUGAAGUGGUUUGAGAGCAGAAUUUGAAUUGCUGCUGCUUUAUUACUAUUACUUAUUGCAAACACAAGAACGGGCACGAUACAAAAAUUCCACGAUAAAUAGAAAAGCAAUCAUACACGGCCAUAUUAAUCUAUGAACAAAUAAAUUAAAGAGAUGACUAAGAGUGGACUGUACUUUUAACUUGGCAUUUACACUUUAAAUCUCUCUUCCUUGUUUUGAUUUGUCCGUCACUUGAACACAAUAAGAUCAGGACGUGCAAGAUGGCCAUCAAACAAAUAGAAUCAAGCGGGUCUGAAUCACAGAUAUUGUAGCUCGGAGAUGACACCUUCAGACUUUUAUUCAAAGAACUUGGAUAGGAAGAUAGAUAUUUCACUUCACUCCAAAUGGAGCUUGCAUUUAUUCCUCGAAGAAAACUACAACCUGAAAAUGAAUUCCAUAGAAAUUUCCAUUACUAAAGUUCAUUCAUGUAUAUAUAAUUCUGAUUUUACUUUUGAAAAUGUAUAAGGUUGGUUAACUUACAUGAUUUAUCGUGAAUGGUGCUUCCGCAGUCUGAGCUUACUUGUAGAUAGGUGGAGGUGGGGAAGCAUAGACGUAAGCUGGAGGCGGAGGUGAUUUGUAAAUGUACUUUGGAGCGGGAGCUGGGGAGGGAGGAGGUGGUGAUUUGUAAUGGUAUGGUGGAGGUGGAGAUGGAGAAGGUGGUGGAGGGCUCACGUAGUGGUAAGGAGGUGAAGGAUACGACGUUGGUGGUGGAGGGGAUUUGUAGUAGUAGGGAUGAUGAGGAGUGGGAGAUGGUGGAGGAGGACUUUUAUAGUAAUAAGGAGGUGGUGGAGAUGGGGACGGGGGUGGAGGGGAUUUGUAGUAAUAUGGAGGUGGUGGUGAUGGGGAUGGUGGUGGUGGUGAGUGGUAGUAGUAGGGAGGGUGUGUGCUCUCUUUAGGUGGAGGUGGGGAGUGAUAGUAGUAAGGUGGUGGAGGGGAUGGUGAAGGUGGUGGGGGAGAUUUAUAGUAGUAUGGAGGAGGAGGGGAUGGUGAAGGUGGGGGUGGAGAUUUAUAGUAGUACGGAGGGGGAGGAGAGGGUGAUGGUGGAGGUGGAGAUUUAUAGUAGUACGGAGGGGGAGGAGAGGGUGAUGGUGGAGGUGGAGAUUUAUAGUAGUAUGGAGGCUUAUAAACCGGUGAGGGUGGAGGUGGGGAGUGGUAGUAGUAUGGAGGGGGAGGUGAGGGGGAUGGUGGAGGGGGAGAGUGGUAGUAGUAUGGAGGGGGAGGUGAAGGGGAUGGUGGAGGUGGAGAGUGGUAGUAGUAUGGAGGUUUAGGCUUUGGUGAUGGUGGGGGUGGAGAUUGGUAGUAGUAUGGAGGCUUUGGCACCGGUGAUGGUGGAGGUGGAGAGUGGUAGUAGUAUGGAGGUGGAGGAGAGGGAGAUGGAGGAGGUGGAGAGUGGUAGUAGUAUGGAGGCUUAGGUUUUGGUGAUGGAGGGGGUGGUGAUUGGUAGUAGUAAGGAGGCUUUGGCACCGGUGAUGGUGGAGGUGGAGAGUGGUAGUAGUACGGAGGCUUAGGUUUUGGUGAUGGGGGAGGUGGAGAUUGGUAGUAGUAUGGAGGCUUUGGUACUGGUGAUGGAGGAGGUGGAGAGUGGUAGUAGUAUGGAGGUUGAGGUUUUGGUGAUGGUGGAGGUGGAGACUUAUAAUAAUAGGGAGGUGACUUGACGGGUGGUGGUGGUGACUUGUAAACAUAAGUUGGUGAUGGUGGUGGUGGUGAUUUGUAUACGUAAACUGGAGAGGGAGGAGGAGGUGAGUUGUAAUAGUAUGGUGUUGGUGAAGGCUUAUAAGGCUUCUUGUCACAGUCCUUGAAGUGCUUCUUUGAAGCAUAAGCAAAUGGCUUAGCCUUGAGCACAACUUCAUAUUUAUCUUUUGAUUUCACCUUCAAUGGAGUUCCCUCGUUCAGCUUGGUAGGUAUGUUGAAGGGAGAGUCCUUAGGUGGAGCAUGAAGGUGGGCCUUGCAGACUACUGAUCCAUAUUUCACAUAGUCAAAGUCCUUAACUGUGAUACUGUAUUUUCCAUUGCUCUUAGUUUCACCAUAAGCCUUUAUGAUGUUUCUUCCUGCUUUGCAUUUAACCUCCACAAUAGCACCUACAUUUACCCAAAAUGCUUCAUUA
rnacentral:lncRNA from 1 species